AUGCCGUAAACGAUGAGUGCUAAGUGUUGGGAGGUUUCCGCCUCUCAGUGCUGCAGCUAACGCAUUAAGCACUCCGCCUGGGGAGUACGACCGCAAGGUUGAAACUCAAAGGAAUUGACGGGGGCCCACACAAGCGGUGGAGCAUGUGGUUUAAUUCGAAGCAACGCGAAGAACCUUACCAGGUCUUGACAUCCAGUGCAAACCUAAGAGAUUAGGUGUUCCCUUCGGGGACGCCGAGACAGGUGGUGCAUGGCUGUCGUCAGCUCGUGUCGUGAGAUGUUGGGUUAAGUCCCGCAACGAGCGCAACCCUUGUCAUUAGUUGCCAUCAUUAAGUUGGGCACUCUAAUGAGACUGCCGGUGACAAACCGGAGGAAGGUGGGGAUGACGUCAAGUCAUCAUGCCCCUUAUGACCUGGGCUACACACGUGCUACAAUGGACGGUACAACGAGAAGCGAACCUGCGAAGGCAAGCGGAUCUCUUAAAGCCGUUCUCAGUUCGGACUGUAGGCUGCAACUCGCCUACACGAAGCUGGAAUCGCUAGUAAUCGCGGAUCAGCACGCCGCGGUGAAUACGUUCCCGGGCCUUGUACACACCGCCCGUCACACCAUGAGAGUCUGUAACACCCAAAGCCGGUGGGAUAACCUUUAUAGGAGUCAGCCGUCUAAGGUAGGACAGAUGAUUAGGGUGAAGUCGUAACAAGGUAGCCGUAGGAGAACCUGCGGUUGGAUCACCUC
rnacentral:rRNA from 1 species